rnacentral:tRNA from 1 species
GCGAGAGUAGUUCAGUUGGUAGAAUGUCUCCUUCCCAAGGAGAAGGUCGCGGGUUCGAGCCCCGUCUCUCGCU